rnacentral:rRNA from 1 species
GACGAGGGAUCCAAGCGUUGUUCGGAAUUACUGGGCGUAAAGCGCGUGUAGGUGGUCACCCCAGUCGGAUGUGAAAGCCCAGGGCUCAACCCUGGACGUGCAUACGAUACUAGGUGGCUGGAGUCUCGGAGAGGAUAGCGGAAUUCCCGGUGUAGAGGUGAAAUUCGUAGAUAUCGGGAGGAACACCAGUGGCGAAGGCGGCUAUCUGGACGAGUACUGACACUGAGACGCGAAAGCAUGGGGAGCAAACAGG